rnacentral:snRNA from 1 species
UGGACUUUGGCUACACCAUGAAA